AUUGAACGCUGGCGGCAGGCCUAACACAUGCAAGUCGAGCGAGAAAGCCUUCGGGUGAGUACAGCGGCGGACGGGUGAGUAACGCGUAGGAAUCUACCUGGUAGUGGGGGACAACAUGGGGAAACCCAUGCUAAUACCGCAUACGCCCUAUGGGGGAAAGCGGGGGACCUUCGGGCCUCGCGCUAUCAGAUGAGCCUGCGUAGGAUUAGCUUGUUGGUGAGGUAAAGGCUCACCAAGGCGACGAUCCUUAGCUGGUCUGAGAGGAUGAUCAGCCACACUGGAACUGAGACACGGUCCAGACUCCUACGGGAGGCAGCAGUGGGGAAUAUUGCGCAAUGGGCGAAAGCCUGACGCAGCCAUGCCGCGUGUGUGAAGAAGGCCUCGGUUGUUAAGACGACUUCUAUUAGGUAGAAAGGUUAGGUAGGUUAAGUUAACUAGACCUAGCUGUGACGUUACCGUUUACG
rnacentral:rRNA from 1 species